CCGGAGCUAAUACGAUAAUAUUUGAACCGCAUGGUUCAAAGUGAAAGACGGUCUUGCUGUCACUUAUAGAUGGAUCCGCGCUGCAUUAGCUAGUUGGUAAGGUAACGGCUUACCAAGGCAACGAUGCAUAGCCGACCUGAGAGGGUGAUCGGCCACACUGGAACUGAGACACGGUCCAGACUCCUACGGGAGGCAGCAGCC
rnacentral:rRNA from 1 species